ACCGAUGGAUGAGCCCGCACCUGAUUAGUUAGUUGGUGAGGUAAUAGCUCACCAAGACAAUGAUCAGUAGCUGAUUUGAGAGGAUGAUCAGCCACAUUGGGACUGAGACACGGCCCAAACUCCUACGGGAGGCAGCAGUGGGGAAUCUUGCACAAUGGGGGAAACCCUGAUGCAGCGAUGCCGCGUGAGUGAAGAAGGCCUUUGGGUUGUAAAGCUCUUUCGUCGGGGAAGAAAAUGACUGUACCCGAAUAAGAAGGUCCGGCUAACUUCGUGCCAGCAGCCGCGGUAAUACGAAGGGACCUAGCGUAGUUCGGAAUUACUGGGCUUAAAGAGUUCGUAGGUGGUUAAAAUAGUUAGGUGGUGAAAUCCCAGAGCUUAACUCUGGAACUGCCAUCAAAACUUUUUAGCUAGAGUAUGAUAGAGGAAAGUAGAAUUUCUAGUGUAGAGGUGA
rnacentral:rRNA from 1 species